AGCACAGAAGACGAAGAGCUGGAAUAGAGCUCGCCUCGGCUCUGCUGGCCUUGGCUGCAGCUCUUCCAGAAACCCGGGGCGCCCACAGAAGAAUCUCUUACCUGGCUCUCUCUUCAGGGAUGACAUCAUCGGCUCACACCAGUCUUCCAGGACCACCUUCUGGAUGCCAAGGCUGCUGCUCGAGUACCUGCUGUGCACCUCUACCUCCUGGUACCCCAGCCACUCCCUCAAGUUGCCUGCAUGUUAUAUGGCCUAGCCAAGGAGCACGGAUUCCAGGAACCCACUACCAUACAGAGCAACUCCUUGUGGACCCCCCUGGGAUCAGGACAGCGAGGGACAAGCGACAAAGAGGAUCAUCAGUGGCCAGCUAGUUUCUCUGGGGUUCAAACCUUGAACCAGUGCCCUAGUGAGGGGGCACUGGCCAUGGCCCUUGACCUUUGCUCUGCUUGUGUCUUGAGUCUGAGCCCUUUCCUGUACAUCUGUGCUCGUGUUCAUCUGCUAGUGAACUGGAGUGCUGCCCUCCCCGAGGAGGGUCGUCCCUUGUGACUGAUCAUGCUGUCCUAACAAUGUCCUGAGCAAAAGGGUCCCUUUGGGAACCUCUCAGGAGGGGGACCCGGGUCAGGGGCGACCAGCAUCUUGCUGGCAACUCCGUGGGUGGGGUGGGGUGGGGUGCUUCCUUCUGGAAUGAGCACGUGGCUGACCCCCCAAGGCAUGUCCCCUCCCCCUCCUCCACCCACCUUCUCGGAGAUGUCCCUUUUGGGGUAGUGGGGACAUUAGGAGCAACCUCCUAGGGUUGUUGUGAGAAUUAAAUGAACUGCAGCAGCCUGAGGCAGGGCUGGGCAGAGACCUCAGCACAUGUUUGUUGAAAGGUUUGCAGGUGGAUCUAGUCCUCCCGUUCAUGGCUCAUGUGUCUCAACCAUUCUCUCGCAGACUCCUGCAGCCCCUAUGCCCAGGGCUCUCCUUGCGCCAGAGGUAGGUGGGAAAGAGAACUGGGAGAGCCCGGACUCACUCAUGAGAUUGAACUUAAAUUCACACGGAGGACACUUGGACUCUUGCCACAUUAGCCCCGGCUUCUCGAGGCCUGUCUACACUCGCUGCUUUCCUUCCUCACCUCCAAUUUCCCCUCCAACCCACUGCUUCCUGACUCGCUCUUCUCCAUCGAACGGCUCUCGCUCAGGUUUAAGGCUUGGCUUGCUGGCCCUGGAGAUCCCGUCGCCGUCUUCGUCGAACUCGAAAUCCUAGCCAUCGUCCUUCCCUGGCCUGUCGCGUCUUCCUGUGCCAUUUGCUGUUGUGCUCAGGUUCCACGAGCUGCCCAUCUCCACAGAAGAGCAGCUGGCAUUGCCCACCGGCCAUGCCGGCUGAAGAAAAGAAGACUGAGGACCCCAGGAUGCCCAGCGCGAGGACCCCAGGAAGCCCAGCGCGAGGACUCCACCCACGACGCCCAGCGCGAGGACUUCACGCACAACACGUUGCAACCCUCCUGGAUUAGGCCAAAGCCAUCAUCUGGAAUCCUGCGUGGGACCCUGGACACACGGACACAGACACCUGCCCCCAGGACCCUCCAACUGUAAAUCCCUCUACAGCCACGGGGACGCCUUGCACAUUUCCUGUGGGACAUGCUGGACCCAAGACUCUGGACCCUGGCCUCCCCUUGAGUAGAGAGACCCACCUACUGACUGAUGAACUGCGCUGACCCUGGGGUCAGGCAUGUGGCCUUGAUCCCUACCCAUGGACCCUGAGACUUGGGGGGGUGGGAGAAAGGCUGUUGUGUCUUCACUGUUGAGUCUACAUCUGUGAAAUGGGCUCAGGUUCCUACCUCACAGGGCUGUUGUGAGGCAGCCGCAAUGUGCUUAGAAGCAUGGGGCCUAGUGGCUCAUGGUGCUUUCAAUAAAUUUCUUGUUUUAACUAAAGCAAAAAAAAAAAA
rnacentral:lncRNA from 1 species